UACCAGCACCCCGAGUGGUCGGGACGAUUAUUGGGCCUAAAGCAUCCGUAGCCGGUUUUACAAGUCCUCCGUUAAAUCCAGCUGCUUAACAGAUGGGCUGCGGAGGAUACUAUAAGACUAGGAGGCGGGAGAGGCAAGCGGUACUCGAUGGGUAGGGGUAAAAUCCGUUGAUCCAUUGAAGACCACCAGUGGCGAAGGCGGCUUGCCAGAAUGCGCUCGACGGUGAGGGAUGAAAGCUGGGAGAGCAAACCGG
rnacentral:rRNA from 1 species